rnacentral:rRNA from 1 species
CCACCCGCACGUAUAGAUGGGACAAGAAUAGGCUUCGGCUUAGCGUCUUAGCAGGCGAUUCUUCCACGGCGCUCGAAGCGCGUCGUGGUAUUUCGCGUAUUGUAAUUUCAACACGAGCGGGGUCAAAUCCUUUGCAGACGACUUAGCUGUGCGAAACGUCCUGUAAGCAGUAGAGUAGCCUUGUUGUUACGAUCUGCUGAGGGUAAGCCGUCCUUCGCCUCGAUUUCCCCAAUGGGUUCUCCGGAUUUCUGGAGACUUGUAGGGGUUGUGGGAUUUUUGAUGUGUCGUCUCCGGACGGGCGGUGCAGGGUAGUCGAGUUAGACUUGGUGGAAUUCCGUCGAUAGGAGUUCCGUCGAGUCUGGUCGGCUGUGUGUUGGACGGUGCAGGGUAGGCUGCUUGGACAUGGUCGGUUCGAGGAUCGAUUCGAGGGCCGGCGCCUGUCGAUGAUGUGUGAUGUAUGCGGUCUAGGGUAGGCUGGUUUGUCUUGGUUCAAUUUGAUGUCGGCUCCCGUGCAGGGCAGAGUGAGGGGGGUCCAGGGUAGGUACAGGGUAGGCAGCUUAGAUUUGGUCGAGAUGGAGGUCGAUUCUCCGGCUGGCGGAUCUGACACUGUCGAAACGAGAUGCGAGCGGUGUAGGGUAGGCUAGUUUCGUCCUCGCCAGGUUGCGAUUUGGACGAGACAUGUGGUUUAGGGUAGGCUCUAGGGUAAGUAGAAUUCGAGUUUCGUCGCCAACAGUUUUCUGUGGGUGUAUGGUAGGUACAGGGUAUGCAAAUCUCUCUCCGGCUAGUACUUGUCUGGUGGUCGUGAGUCGAUUUUUUUGUUUUGCCAUACUAUUGAAUUUUGCGGAAAUUCAAAAGUGGCUCGGGAGUCCCGCCUGGCGUGCGUCCGACUCGAACAUCGUCGGUGUACAUAUGAGAGGGAGUAAUCCGGCCCGGCCGGGGCCCAUCGCGAGCUGCCGGGUAGGAAAAG